GUAGGGAAUAUUGCACAAUGGGGGAAACCCUCAUGCAGCGACGCCGCGUGAGUGAUGAAGGCCUUCGGGUCGUAAAGCUCUGUCGUAUGGGACUAACACAAUGAAGGUACCAUGCAAGAAAGGAUCGGCCAACUUCGUGCCAGCAGCCGCGGUAAGACGAGGGAUCCUAGCGUUGUUCGGAAUUAUUGGGCGUAAAGCGGGUGUAGGCGGAUUUGUACGUCAGGUGUGAAGUCCCAGGGCUCAACCCGGGGAGUGCACUAGAUACGGCGGAUCUUGAGUGUGAUAGAGGUUACUGGAAGUGUUGGUGUAGUGGUGAAAUACGUAGAUAUCAACAGGAAUACCGGAGGCGAAGGCGAGUAACUGGGCCAACACUGACGCUGAGACCCGAGAGCGUGGGGAUCAAACAGGAUUAGAAACCCUAGUAGUCC
rnacentral:rRNA from 1 species